rnacentral:lncRNA from 1 species
GCAGUAAUGUACUGUACCACACCAGCGUUACUCUGAAGUCUGAACUCUAACAGGUAUAUUAUUGGUCUUCGGUGGCACUCCAUAGUCAAAAUUACACAACAUACAAUUGGAUUCUUGCAGCUUUCCCCAAGUCAGCAGUUUGUGGUGUGUAAGAAGAGCCUCGUGCAUAGCUAGCCACCACCACCACCACUAUUCUCUUAUUUCUCUUCCUGGGACGUGUAGUCUUCUCUUCAAGGACAUCUUAAUCUCGACCACCACCACUCACCAUCAUUGUGAGCACUUCUCUUCACUUCUUAUCUGAUUUUAAAAACCUAAUUUUGAUUUUGAUUUUGAAAAACCUAAUUUUGAUUUUGAAAACCUAAUUUUGAUUUUGAUUUUGAAAUUGGGGGUUUUAAAAACCUAAUUUUGAUUUUGAUUUUGAAAUUGGGGGUUUUUAACAAACCCUAAUUUUGAUUUUGAUUUUGAAAUUAGGGGUUUUUACCCACCCUAAUUUUAAUUUUGAUUUCGAAAUUAGGGGUUUUAAAACCCUAAUUUUAAUUUUGAUUUCAAAUUGGUGGUUUUAAAAAACACUAAUUUUAAUUUUGCUUUGAAAUUUUGAAAUUAUGGUUUUUAAUUGGUAGAUAUCAACCAGAUUCAUUCAUAGAGGACAGAACGUGACAUUUUACAUUACCAUGGACCCAAUGUUGUAUUAAUGAAAAAGAAUUGUUGUUGACUUGUUUUGGCAUGUGUUACAUUAAUACAACAACAAGUCAACAACAACAAUUUUUUUUUGUUUUUUUAAGUUUUGACACGGCGCAAUAACAGAAAACCAAAGUCCUGUGGGUACGUCCGUGAUCUAUCUGCUUGACUUAAUAAGGCUUUAUAUUGAACCGUAUUCUAUCUUCUAUAUUAUAAUCUAUAAAGGGUACAUAAAAUAGAUAAGUUUGGGUUAUAAGUAGUGUUCCAGAUUCUCUCGAGUUCGAAGUUGAGAUUAGAUCUGCGGUUGUGAUUGGAUUGGAGACAAACUCAUUUAUUAAUGAGUUAAUUAGCGACUGCCCCUAGAUUUAAAAGCCAAAGUUGUGAAUGCCCCCAGAUUUUUUUUUUUUUGUUUAGUGAUGCCCCAUAGAUUUGCUUCCUUAUUCUUUUAAUACCAAAACUACCCUUUCAUUUUGUUUAGCCUUUACCCCAAACUCCGUAAAACCAUUUUAACUACCAUGUAUGAAAGAAAUUGGUGGUUUUUGUUUCGAACAAUAGAUCUAGAUAAAAACAAUCACACACAUCUCGAGGUUUAUCCUACGAUAAUAAAACAAAACAACCAAUAACAUGAUGCCACAUGUAAAGUGCUUCACCAAAUUAAACCCACAAAUCUCUACUAAUUGAACAUCUUCUUCACCCCCAUUUCAAUAGCAAAACCCAAAGUAUCUUCACCCCUAUUUUCAAAGUCUAUCUUCUCACCUUGACCCCCAUCAUCAGUUUUAUAGAGUUAGGGGCAAAUGCUAAACAAAAUGGAGGGGUAGUUUUGGUAUUAAAAGAAAAAUGAAGCAAAUCUAGGAGGCAUCACUAAACAAAAAAAAAUCUGGGGGCAUUCACAAUUUUGGCUUUCAAAUCUGGGGACAAUCGCUAUUUAACUCUUUAUUAAUCGUUGGAUUAGAUUGGGUCCAAACUUAAGUUGUGUUGGAUGGUUGGGAUCACAUUUAGAUUGAAUAGUUUUCUUAAACCUUAAUUGUCAAUUUUCUUCCUCUUCCUCUUCUUUGUUUCCUCAUCAAGGUACUGCGAUUCUAUCAUCAUCUCAAUCAUAAUCAUCAUUGUCUUAAUCAUAAUCGAUCAGAAAAAAAAUUCAACAAAAUUCUCAAUCAUAAGCAUCAUCGUCUCAAUUAAUCAGAAAAAAAUUCAACAGAAAUUCUCAAUCAUAAUCAUAAUCUCAGGUACUCUAGUCUUCAAUAGUAUCAUCAUCAUCUCAAUAAUCAUAAUCAUCAUCGUUUCAAUCAUAAUCAGAAAAAAAAUCACUGCACUUAUACAGCUUCAAGUAAACUUAAUUUUUGUAUUGUUUGCCAAUCUCUUUCUUCAAAGUAGGGGUGGCAGAUGUUGACACGACCUGUAAACCCAACACGAACACGACCCGCAAAUAACUUACCCGAACACGACACGCUACCUGGUUCGUGUUAUAUAUGGAUUAACCCGAAAACCCCGCUACAUAAAUGGGUCGUGUUCGGAUUUAACACGUACACCCGAUCUGACACGAUAACAACCCAUUUUCACAGCCGUACUCAUUGAUCUGAAGAAGAUUCACAACUGAAAAUAAACUGAUUGGUGGGAAGAUUUGUGGACUAUGGUCUAUGAAGUGAUGAAAUUUUAUUAAUUAAAGAUGGAAAGAUUUCCAUCAGGGUUUCUGACCAGAAGAACUUCUAAUACAUUAGAUCUUCAACUACAUCUUCUUCAAAACCCAUAUUUGGGUACCUUUACUUCAUCUUCCUUCACUAAAUUCGAAAAAAUAACACAGAUUCACAACAAAAUCAUCAAUCUUUUGAAAAAAAUUCAACAAACCCAAUUUUUUUCACAACUUCCAAGUCUUAAUCAAUCAAUUCCACUUCUUUAACAACAUACCCAUCAUCGAAAUCUAAUAUCUUCAUCUUCUUUCUUUGAUAUUUUAUACAAAAUCAUAAACCCCAUCAUUAUUUUAUUACUCUGUUCUUCUAUUGAAUAUAAGGUUUUUUGGAAGAAUUUGAUAAUUGGGUUGAAGAGCUGAGAGAUGAAUAGGAAGACAAAGAAGAAGAAAGAAAGAUUCGAACCAAAUUAACGUGUCGGGCGUGUCACCCACUAAACAAACAAGGUCGUGUUCGGGUUGACCUGUUUAGUAACUGGGUCUCUUUCGGGUUAAUCUGUUUUGACACACAACCCAGUACUGACCCGACACGACCCAUUUGCCACCCCUACUUCAAAGUAAGUGGUGAAGUGGUCUUCAAGGGAUUGCUUGCUAAUUGACUGCAUCCACUCGAUCCUAAGCGGGUAAUAUUUUUAUCUUGCUUUAAGGAAUUAUAAUUAAGCUAUUUUUAUCUUACGUGAUUUUUUUUUCUCAUUCGAAUGAAGAAACUCCAUAUCAAAAUGGACUACCACGAUCACAUAAUUAUUCUAGUGAUUUGCGUAAAGAUGCCCAUACCCCCUUCUGUAAACCUAAUACCGUCUUUUUGUUAGAUCAUUAUAAAUUGAAUUUCCUAUAGAAAUUUUUUUGUAAGAUAUUUGAAUUGGAUGGACAUUGCUUCCAUUAGUAUGUGUAAUAUAGUCCUUCUAACAACUUUCCAAUGUACUGUCUUCUUCCAUCUUCACUAUCCCCCCCAUCAGCUUUCCUUUAACAAAACCUAAAACGGAACCUUUUUGAUAUAUCAUCCCGGUACGUUGAACAUAAAUGUAUCACUCAACAAACUGAAAUUGAUGAGAUAAUAAGUUUGAAUUGUUAUUCGAUCCUAUCAUGGUCAUCUUAGUGGUGUACAUUGCUUGGCUCUUCACCCGACUUUAGAUAAUGUAAUGUUUACAGGUGGAGGUGAUUCGGUCUGUCGUGUAUGGGAUGUUCAUACAAAGACCCAAAUUCAUGUUGUUUCUCAUUCCAAUACAGUUUUAUAUCUUCUUGCAAGACCUGUAGAUCCACAGAUUUUGUAACAGGUUCCCAAGACUCAACCAUAAAGUUUUUGGACCUUAGUAUGGGAAAACAAUGGAGACUUUCACUCACCAUAAGAAAUAUGUUCGACCAAUGGUACAACAUCCCAGUGAGCAACAUUGCUUUGCAUUUACAUCCCCUGAUAAUGUCAAGAAGUUUAGCAAUAGUAUAGUUUUCACCUACGGGAGGGCACCUCUUCUUUAUUGAUCUGAGCCGUGAUUCUCUGUCAUCUUAGGUGAUACACUGUAGUAGUGUAGUUCCGUACAAGCAAUAGUUCCAACCAAGUUAAACAUGAAAAUUGGAAAGUAAUGAUAACAAUGACUUGAUAGUUGAGAGUCAGGUUUGAUAAUGGCAGUCAGAAUUCUGAGUUUCUUUGACCUCCCAUAAUGGCAGUCGGAACAAUCUAAUUGCAAGUUUGUUUUACAUCUUGCAGACAACUAGAAUAAAUAUUUUCUAGAAUAAUUGGUGUAUCAUAACAGUUUAUGUAUAAGUUCUAGAAAAAACUACAGUGUAUCACCUUUUAAUGUAAAUAAAAUUUAUAGGAUCGUGAAAUUUUUUUCUAGGAUCAUAAUUUUUUUCUAGAACUUUUACGAUCGACAUUGAAGUUUUUGUAUCACAACAGUUACUAAAAAUAAGAAAAAAACACACUAUAUAUUUUGUGUUAUCAUUAUACACUUAACAUGUUUAUUUAUUUACAUUAAGAGAGUAAGCUCCUUUUUUUUAAAGUUAUAAGCUAAAUUAAUCUAUAAAUUUGGUCUGACAGGUACUGAUAUUAUUACCAGUGGCAAGCAUUGCAUUUCGAGUUAUUAAGAGGCUUAUACAGUUAACACCUUUGUCACACAAAGUAAGAUUUUUCUAUUUCCUUUUCUUUUGUAUAUUUUUUCUAUUAUAUAGUCGCAAUUUAUUUCAUGCUUUAGCUAAGAUUUGAACCACUAUAGUAAAAUAUUCAAAUUAGAGUUGAAGUUCCUAAUGUUUGUGUUGAGGUACACUUCACAAUCUGGAUGGUAGUCUACAAUUUAGUUUAUAAUCUUCCGCAAUUCCAUACUGAACAGAUAACAUGUUGUUUUUCCAUAAGUUGCUCAUUUUGUGAAUUGUCUACCAGAUGUUCAUUCUACUGUUAUGUGAUAUUUAUGGCAACAUUCGUUUUAAACUAACCUGGAUAGCAAUGCUAAAAUAAUGAAAUAUUGUAUAGUAAUGUUACUAUCUAACUCAUGAUAGACGAAGAAACAUUGAGGUCUUGAUGGAAUGAGCCUUUCACAGAUAAGAAGAUCGUAUACAUUGAUUACGAGCCUCAAAUUAAUCUAUUGUUGCUUUCUACUUUGUACCAGGUGGCAUAUCUUGACAUGACCAACAUACUUGACCUUGCAAAGCUCUGCAACUCAGUUCAAUAUUUUACUGGUAUAUACUCAAAUCUUCUUGGAACACCUACUAGGCAGCCGCAGGGUGUAAGUGUAAUAGUGUUUUUAGUAUUGUUUUUGAAAUGAUAUCCUAUUACGGAGGAGAACUUCAUUAUACAACCAAAAAUGAUUAUGAUAUUAGCAUUAGAACAACUGCUAGCCUUCAUAACCUUGGGUAUUUAGCACAUUGUAAUGAAUGAGCUGAUAUUCGGUUUCUUAGCCAAGUGUAAAACAAACUUCAAAAUGUUAAAAUGACUGCAAUGGACCAAUAUAUACACUCAAUUAGCUAAUACCUUCUAGAUACCUUUGGUUUAAGGCUUCUCCUUUUUAUCUGGGGGUCAUUGAAUACGUUCCAUUACUCUGGAAAUUGAGAAACAAUCUUCUAAUAAAUGUCCAUAUAAGUACGCUGACAUUUUACUGCUUGAGUAUGCAUUUUGUAUGUUCCAGAUUUCUAUAUUGAAUUAGUUUUUUAUGUUCUUUAUGUUGUUUUUAUUGAUAUUGUACCUUAAGAAGCUCUUACUUUGCAAGUUAGGAUAAAAAUGAAGAAUUAAUACUCAACUGGAUAUCAUUCAUUUGUUCUCUCUUUUCAGAGGUUGCUAAUCUGCAUGAUAUUUCCUUAUAUAUAAUAAUCUCUUUCAGAUACUUCUCGAGCUUGAUCAUCUAAACGAUUCCUCCAAACCUUAGGUCAAGAUUAAAGGAACAAAUAGAGAAGUAACAUCUGCUGCCAGUUCAACACUUGGCCUAGAUGGUACAUAUACUACACAGGUGAUUUAUCUCACUAUUAUACUAUUGGUCGGUUUGAUUCUAUGUGAUGUACAUGAUUUCCAUUUCCUUUGAUAUAAUUGCUUGAUUUCCCACACCUACAGAGCUACUUUCAAAUCAUUCUUGAAAGUUUGGCAACAUCUGAAAGAAGCUCAACAGAAUUCACUGUCAGCAAGCUGCACAAUUGUAGAAGCUGAAGUUCUCUUUGUAGCACAACUCUUCAGGUCAACCCUUCACAAUGUAUAUGGUACUUUACAAUUUAGUUUACAAUCUUUCCGUAAUUCGAUUCUUCAAUUAUAUGGCAGUUGGCACUAAUAAAAUUCUGCCCAAAGAAUACUUAAUAGAUAACAUGUUGCUUUCAUUGUUGUAUGGGGGGUUUGCUUUAUCUGCUUUCAGUUCAGUUUAUCCUCUCAUUAACCAAUGAACUCUCUUCUGACUGGAGUAAUAGCUUUGUUUGCUAUGAAAGGUUUAUAUUAAACAAUCAAUAGGAUUUCGGCCAUGUAAAAGCCAACAAUAUCAUGGUGAACUCAUGUUCUUAUUUAACGAGAACAAGUCCUUGAUGUAUAGGAAGAGCGUGAAAAAAAUACAAUAUCUCAGAAUUUAUUUGUCAGUAAAUGGGCAGAAUAGUAUUCCCAGUCUAAGAAAAGAACAAAACUUUAAACGUCAUAAUUUGCAUCUUCGUUAUCUCUUUGAACUCUAAAGUUGUCAUACUAAUUUUCUAAACUCGUGUGCGAAAUGAAUGAUAUAUACCUAUGAAUAGUUUUAGGCAAGAUAGAACUUUCCAUAUACACCAUUGACAUAAACUCCGUGCGACAAAUGAGGCAGAUGACUUCAGGUUCCAAAGAGAAAGUUAUAGAUGGUUUCUCCAAUAUACUUAGAUAAUAAUGAAAUUGAGGUAACGACAUGGACUUCAUAUACACAAAACUAUAUUACAAGUGAGUGGAAUACAGUAUAUCAGAGUAACUUUAGAUAUUAGUAUUUAUGUUUUGUUCACUACAGAUUUGCUUGGAUGUUUUAUAGUUAUUAUUAAGAGUCAAAUGAAC